rnacentral:lncRNA from 1 species
AUGGGUUUUUCGCCAACUUCAUCACCGGGCUAUAGCCCGUCGUCCCCCGGGUACAGCCCAUCAUCUCCGGGAUACAGCCCCACCUCGCCUGGUUAUAGCCCAACCUCACCGGGCUAUAGCCCUACAUCUCCGGGUUACAGUCCCACCUCUCCAACUUACAGCCCAAGUUCACCCGGUUAUAGCCCAACAAGUCCUACCUACUCACCCACUUCACCUAGCUACUCCCCUACCUCACCAAGCUACUCACCCACAUCACCUAGCUACAGCCCUACAUCGCCAGCUUACAGCCCGACCUCUCCGGCUUACAGCCCGACCUCUCCUUCCUACAGCCCGACAUCACCAUCCUACAGCCCAACCUCACCCUCCUACAGCCCAACCUCACCCUCUUACAGCCCGACCUCUCCUUCCUACAGCCCAACAUCACCAUCCUACAGCCCGACCUCCCCUUCCUACAGCCCAACCUCCCCUGCUUACAGCCCAACUUCACCUGGGUACAGUCCUACUUCCCCAAGCUACAGUCCUACUUCUCCAAGUUACAGUCCCACCUCACCAAGUUACAACCCUUCAUCCGCUAAGUACAGCCCCUCGUUGGCUUAUUCUCCUAGUAGUCCAUACAGCCCUACAUCCCCCAACUAC